UUAGCUCGCAAAUCGAUAACCACAAUCAAGUAUAGAAGAAUUAGUAACAAAAAAAAUAAAUGUAACACACAGCAGGAAAGUAUAAGAUAUUGCACUAAAUUGUACAGGAAAAUGCUAUGACAAACAAUAGAAUAAAUUGGCUUGAUAAUAUUACAUAGAUAUAAUCACGGUUCAAGAAAAAGCAGAAGCGUGCAAAACGGACGAAGCUUCGAAGAGGAAUGCUGCACCACGCUACAAGAUUGCACACCAACCACACAGCGACGAAUCUGAUUGGUCGAAAUGAGAGGACGCCAACAUGGCGCGACCAAUCACAGCUGUUGGUAGAAGUUUCGAAUUGCUUCGAAACUUUAAUACUAAUUGUAAGGGAAAAGUUCGUUAAAAACUAUCGACGCCAUAUUGAACUAAAGUCAAGAUUACUUUUCUCAGCUUAAAACAUCAAAAUAUAUGACAAAAAGUAGAAAAAACAUAAGCUAUUAACGAGAUUUAAGAAAUUGUCGAUAUAAAAGCAGAAUAACUGUAAUGCUAAUCGUAAUGGAAACGUUCAUACAAUAAAUAUCAGCGAAAAAA